AGGCACGUAGCUCAGCUGGUUAGAGCACUACCUUCACAUGGUAGGGGUCAGUGGUUCGAAUCCAUUCGUGCCUACCA
rnacentral:tRNA from 1 species